CAGCUUCCAUUGAGCGCCGCGACCUCCUAUAUUAGCGGGGUCGACGGGAGACCGUCGACUAUGGCGAUAAACGCUGCUCGAAAUAAGCGUUGCGGACCCGGGGGCAGUACCCGGCGCCUCCACCACCCCUUGGGCGGGCGGCUCAAGUUGCGGGGGCGAACCAGGAUCGACGUGCGUGGUAAAGGUGUGGUUUUCGCCCGGCAUGGUACCGCCGUUAUCGGGCCAACUCAGAGGUGCGAACGACAACGAAGUCGCACUCGCUGCUUAGCAUCGCUAGGUAAGCGCGGCUUGGGGGGCGCCGGGCAACAGAAGCCCCCCGCU
rnacentral:tmRNA from 1 species